AUUGAACGCUGGCGGCAGGCUUAACACAUGCAAGUCGAGCGGGGUGAUGGUGCUUGCACUAUCACUUAGCGGCGGACGGGUGAGUAAUGCUUAGGAAUCUGCCUACUAGUGGGGGACAACAUUUCGAAAGGAAUGCUAAUACCGCAUACGUCCUACGGGAGAAAGCAGGGGAUCUUCGGACCUUGCGCUAAUAGAUGAGCCUAGGUCGGAUUAGCUAGUUGGUGGGGUAAAGGCCUACCAAGGCGACGAUCUGUAGCGGGUCUGAGAGGAUGAUCCGCCACACUGGGACUGAGACACGGCCCAGACUCCUACGGGAGGCAGCAGUGGGGAAUAUUGGACAAUGGGCGGAAGCCUGAUCCAGCCAUGUCGCGUGUGUGAAGAAGGCCUUAUGGUUGUAAAGCACUUUAAGCGAGGAGGAGGCUACUUUAGUUAAUACCUAGAGAUAGUGGACGUUACUCGCAGAAUAAGCACCGGCUAACUCUGUGCCAGCCGCCGCGGUAAUAC
rnacentral:rRNA from 1 species